rnacentral:lncRNA from 10 species
UCGUAGCCAAAUAUAUACAUAACAAAACCUUUCCCAUUUUAACCAUUUUUAAUUAUACAAUUUGGUGGCAUUAAAUACACUCACAGUGUUUGGCAACCAUCAUCACAUCCAUCUCCAGAACUUUAUUAUCAUCCUGAACAUAGUACCUAUGAAACCUGUGAUGGUUAAUGUUGAGUGUCAACUUGAUUGGAUUGAAGGAUACAAACUAUUGAUCCUGGUUGUAUCUGUGAGUGUGUUGCCAAAGGAGAUUAACGUUUGAGUCAGUGGGCUGGGAAGGGAAGACCCACCCUUUAUCUGCGUGGGCACCAUCUAAUCAGCUGCCAGUGCAGCUAGAAUAUAAAGCCGGAAGAAAAAUGUGAAAAGAGAGAGACUGGACUAGCCUCCCAGCCUACAUCUUUCUCCUGUGCUGGAUGCUUCCUGCCCUCGAACAUUGGACAGGUUCUUCAGUUUUGAAAGUAGACUGGCUCUCCUUGCUCCUCCGCCUACAGAUGGCCUAGUUUGGGACCUUGUGAUUGCGAGGAAGAAACAUUAAUGACAGUCAUUACAUUCCCCCAGACUUUCACAUGGAAGAUGCCUGAAGCACUCAGACAGAAUUUUCUUGUUUACUAAGAGGUUGGUAUUUCAGUUCUCUCUUCUCCUUAUAAAAAUUAUCCUCUCUUGUAGCAUUUGAGGCUGGAUGGAAAUUUCAUCUCUUGAAGUUAGAGUUGGGAUCUAUGCCAGUUUGAGUCAUGGGAAGUAAAUGUCAUUCCUGAAGAUGUGAAUUUCACCUACCGACAUACAUUGAGUGCCUCAUACCCAAUCCACAUUGCUAAGCACCGUAGAAGCACAGAGGAAUGCAAGAUAAGGUCCCUGUGCUCAGGGAGUGUGAAAGAUAUGCACACACACAUCAAACCAAAAUACAAAGCAGUCGGUACAGAGGAACACGGAAGGUGAAGAGAGGGUAAGGGCUUUAUCAUUGUGCGGAAAGGAGACAGUUCCGCUAGCUGUGGUGCUCAGGAUAAGUUUAAUGGUAAAAUAGGCACUUACAGGAGACCUGGCAGUGGAUAAGAUUUGGAUGGACAGAGAGAAGAGACAGCAGGAAUUUCAGGCUCCCCUGAGGACAAGGACUAGAACUUCUUCGUCUUCUCUACAUCAUCCAGUACCUGGCCCAUGGAUAAGUUAAUAACCAGCAUGAAGCCUGCUAUCUAGAAGAGGACUGACCCACCCAAAGCACCCAGACUGUCAUCCCACCCAGCAUAAAAACAAGCCACCCCAGAGACGCAGAGCUGGCACCUCAAGCGGAAGGCUGGCUACGUUGUUUCCACUUGAUCUGAGCUUGCCGCCAUUGAGAUGGAAGAUACUGCUUCCCUUGGGGAGGAGAACGUUGUGUGCCAUGUGGCGCUGGAGAAAUUCAUGUGGACGCUGCGUGACUAUUUGCUGGGGAUUUUGUAGAGAAGAUGUUAGCACUCUGAAUGGUUAGACUUUCAAUAUUUCAUAUUUGAUUUCUCCAAAAUACCCAGAAUGACUGAGGAGACUAAAUAUUUAUCCUUAAGCUGAUAAAGGCAGGUAGUAUGAAAUUACCCUCCGCAAACAUACAAUGUCUUUGAAGUUGUAAAAGCCAUGCAUAAUUUACAACUUAAAUCAAAAUAUAUUUGUGUUUAUGCUAAUAUGUUCUAUUCUGAUUAUUAUAGUGCAAGGACUAGAAAUUAGUUGAACAAGUUAAGUAAAAUGGCCAGCUUAUGUUAAGUGAAUCCAUCUCGUAGAAUCCAAGAACAGUGAAGGCGGGGGAGCUGCAUGUUGUCGGGUGCUGGAGAGCUGUCGGGAGUGAGGGGGCUCUUCCCAUUUCUCAGGGCUGCUUGUGUUUCCUCUCAGCUCCUCUCUGUGGAUCUGCUCUCUGACAUUUAUAUGUGGUUCAAAACAGAACCCUUCACUUUUGGGUCUAUUCAGUCUUUUAGUUCCAGCCUUCAAGAUCAAAUAUCUACAGCCUCUUAGCUCAAAAUUGGAAUGGUUAUGCUCAUUGGACCAGGUGGCUAUCCCUAAAGCAAAUUAUUUAAGGUUGGAAAGGCAGCGUAUACAGUUGGUGUUCCAGGGACUAAGGGUAGGACAGGUCAAACUACAAGGGGGAGUCCUACAUACAAAGCAAAUAAUCUAUAAGUAAAUGUGAUGUUCCAAGUUACUUUCCAUCCUGAGAAGUCAAAGACAAACAGCAAAAAGUAUUUCACUUUCUCCUGUACCUUAGUGUAUAGCAUGGAACUAGACAAGGUCUAAUUUGAAGCUAAAUUCCAGAUUGUGUGCUCUCUCCCAGGGCCUGAAUAAUGUAAUUCUUUCACAAAAGGAAAAAAAUAGUAAUUUUACUGUGAAAAGUAGAAUAAUAUUUGUCAGACCAGACCUCAUGUAUUUUAGCUGUGUGCUCUUAGAAUAUAAAUACAAAAUGUAAAGAAAAGUAGUUUUUGAAGUCACCCUCCAGUUUAGUAUGAAAUGUAAUGGCGUCUUCAAACUUGGGUGAUGUUUACAUCUUAAAAUAACACUGUUGUUGUGAUGAAAUAUAUUACAUAAAAUUUACCAUUUUAACCAUGUUUGAGUGUACAGUUCAAUGGCAUUGAAUUGUAGAUAUUUUACUCUUUCGGAACCUAUUGUAAAUGUGAUUAUUUGUUGGUGUAUAGAAAUACAACCAAUUUUCUGUGUAUUUG